rnacentral:rRNA from 1 species
UGCCAGCCGCCGCGGUAAUACAGAGAUGGCAACCGUUGUUCGGAAUCACUGGGCUUAAAGAGCACGUAGGCGGAAUAGUAAGUUGAUUGUGAAAUCCCAUGGCUCACCCAUGGAAUUGCAGUCAAAACUGCUACUCUCGAGUUCGGUAGGGGAGAGUGGAACUCCUAGUGGAGCGGUGAAAUGCGUUGAUAUUAGGAGGAACGCCGGUGGCGAAAGCGACUCUCUGGACCGACACUGACGCUGAGGUGCGAAAGCUAGGGGAGCAAACGGGAUUAGAUA